GACGAACGCUAGCGGCGUGCUUAACACAUGCAAGUCGAACGAUGAAGCUAGAGCUUGCUCUGGUGGAUUAGUGGCGAACGGGUGAGUAACACGUGAGUAACCUGCCCCGAACUCUGGGAUAACUGCUGGAAACGGCAGCUAAUACCGGAUAUGACCAAUGAAGGCAUCUUCUGUUGGUGGAAAGAAUUUCGGUUCGGGAUGGACUCGCGGCCUAUCAGCUUGUUGGUGAGGUAACGGCUCACCAAGGCGACGACGGGUAGCCGGCCUGAGAGGGUGAUCGGCCACACUGGGACUGAGACACGGCCCAGACUCCUACGGGAGGCAGCAGUGGGGAAUAUUGCACAAUGGGCGCAAGCCUGAUGCAGCAACGCCGCGUGAGGGACGACGGCCUUCGGGUUGUAAACCUCUUUUAGUAGGGAAGAAGCGAAAGUGACGGUACCUGCAGAAAAAGCACCGGCUAACUACGUGCCAGCAGCCGCGGUAA
rnacentral:rRNA from 1 species